rnacentral:rRNA from 1 species
GCAGAACGCGAAGAACCUUACCCACACUUGACAUGCCUCUUUUGGCUUUCAGAGAUGAUUGCCUUCGGUUCGGCCGGGGAGUGCACAGGUGCUGCAUGGCUGUCGUCAGCUCGUGUCGUGAGAUGUUGGGUUAAGUCCCGCAACGAGCGCAACCCUUAUCGUAUGUUGCCAGCAUUUAGUUGGGCACUCGUGCGAGACUGCCGGUGAUAAGCCGGAGGAAGGCGGGGACGACGUCAAGUCAUCAUGGCCCUUACGUGUGGGGCUAGAAACGUGCUACAAUGGGAGUGACAGUGAGCAGCGAGGUCGCGAGGCCAAGCUAAUCUCCAAAAGCUCUCUCAGUUCAGAUUGUAGUCUGCAACUCGACUACAUGAAGUUGGAAUCGCUAGUAAUCGCAAAUCAGCAUGUUUGCGGUGAAAUACGUUCCCGGGGGUCUUGUACACACCGGAGGUCGGUGGGGAGGGCAAGGGGCACACAGGGGGGGGGAUA